rnacentral:rRNA from 1 species
GACGAACGCUGGCGGCGUGCCUAAUACAUGCAAGUCGAACGCUUAAGGAGGAGCUUGCUUCUCUGGAUGAGUUGCGAACGGGUGAGUAACGCGUAGGUAACCUGCCUGGUAGCGGGGGAUAACUAUUGGAAACGAUAGCUAAUACCGCAUAAGAGUAGAUGUCGCAUGACAUUUGCUUAAAAGGUGCAAUUGCAUCACUACCAGAUGGACCUGCGGUGUAUUAGCUAGUUGGUGGGGUAACGGCUCACCAAGGCAACGAUACAUAGCCGACCUGGGAGGGUGGUUGGCCAAACUGGGAAUGAGAAAAGGGCCAGGAUCCCAAGGGAGGGAGCAGGAGGGGAUCUUUGGAAAUGGAGGGAAAGCUGGACGAGGAACGCCGGGGUGGGGAAGAAGGGUUUCGGAUCGGAAAGCUCGGUUGUGAGGGAAGAAAGAGUGUGGGAGUGGAAAGUUCACACUGUGACGGUAUCUGACCAGAAAGGGACGGCUAACUACGUG